rnacentral:sRNA from 1 species
UAAUUAAUAGAAGGUGGCACAGUAUUCUAGUCAGGUGCGAAACAGUCGAAGACGGGGUUAAAAUACCGUUAAAGAGCAUAUCGAUGAAGUUUCUUGUGCUGGCUUUGGUUGCCCAAACCAGGGCUGGUGCUGGGAGUUAAGAUUUUUGGGCGUUCCGUAACGGCAUACGGAAGCCGACCCAAUUAUCGCGGAGACCCAUAUCGGCAGAAGUAUCCACUCUUUUGCUGAAUGGGAUUAAACCUGUAAUGCGGUAACAAAUAGCUGUGUGCAGUGUAGCUUGCCUUGAGUGAAGGCGGCGGAUUCGGAAUCACGAAAGGAUUUGUUGGCCGAUAAAUCCGAUCUAUUGUCCGAUGAAACCCUCUUUGCAAAAGAGGAUAAACUGUUUCAAAUCUGUAAAGGAAAUCUUCUAGACUGACAUAGGCUAAGGAUUAUAGUGUGUUCUGAGUGGCAAUUCGGUCUGACUCGGAGUAAUCCGGUCACGUAGGCUAUAAUAGGAAACUGCUUGUACGGCGACGGCAAGUGGUCUGCGGGGAAAUCCUACCGAACCUAUGACGCAAGGUUUACUUAGCUUAUGCCACCUGUAUUUUU